GAUGAACGCUGGCGGCGUGCUUAACACAUGCAAGUCGAACGAUGAAGCCCAGCUUGCUGGGUGGAUUAGUGGCGAACGGGUGAGUAACACGUGAGUAACCUGCCCUUGACUCUGGGAUAAGCCUGGGAAACUGGGUCUAAUACUGGAUAUGACUUCUCAUCGCAUGGUGGGGGGUGGAAAGAUUUAUUGGUCUUGGAUGGACUCGCGGCCUAUCAGCUUGUUGGUGAGGUAAUGGCUCACCAAGGCGACGACGGGUAGCCGGCCUGAGAGGGUGACCGGCCACACUGGGACUGAGACACGGCCCAGACGCCUACGGGAGGCAGCAGUGGGGAAUAUUGCACAAUGGGCGCAAGCCUGAUGCAGCGACGCCGCGUGAGGGAUGACGUCCUUCGGGUUGUAAACCUCUGUCAGUAGGGAAGAAGCGAGAGUGACGGUACCUACAGAAGAAGCGCCGGCUAACUACGUG
rnacentral:rRNA from 1 species